GAUGAACGCUCGCUACAGGCUUAACACAUGCAAGUCGAGGGGAAACGACAUCGAAAGCUUGCUUUUGAUGGGCGUCGACCGGCGCACGGGUGAGUAACGCGUAUCCAACCUGCCCAUCACUUGGGAAUAACCUUGCGAAAGUAAGACUAAUACCCAAUGACAUCCCACGAAGACAUCUGAAUGGGAUUACAGAUUUAUCGGUGAUGGAUGGGGAUGCGUCUGAUUAGCUUGUUGGCGGGGUAACGGCCCACCAAGGCAACGAUCAGUAGGGGUUCUGAGAGGAAGGGCCCCCACAUUGGAACUGAGACACGGUCCAAACUCCUACGGGAGGCAGCAGUGAGGAAUAUUGGUCAAUGGGCGAGAGCCUGAACCAGCCAAGUAGCGUGCAGGAUGACGGCCCUAUGGGUUGUAAACUGCUUUUAUAAGGGAAUAAAGUGGGUCUCGUGAGACUUUUUGCAUGUACCUUAUGAAUAAGGACCGGCUAAUUCCGUG
rnacentral:rRNA from 1 species